AUGCCCAGAUUUCUUGUUUCCUUGGCUUAUACUUUGGGUCUUGCACCUUUUCUUUAUAGGUUCUGCGAAUUCUUGUUUAGGGAUCCGAUGGAGAGCUCGGAUAUGGCAUCGCAGCCGUUGAGCGACAGGGUCACGCCGAAGCUCCUCCUUGGCUGCACGGAUUGCGUCACUGUCAUGCCGGGCGAGCCGCAGACUGGAUCCGGAAAGACAUAUACGACGGGUACCAAUUAUACUGGCGAAGCUGAUCGUGGAGGAAUAUUUGCACCUCUCAUGGAGACGAUAUUCAGGAAAUCUGAUGCGAUGAACCGUCAUACAGAGUUCUUAAUUAGGGUAUCCUUCAUCGAGAAGUGGCAGAGCCUGCUAGAGUGCCUAUUCAGAUUCGACAAAACUUCAAAUGGAAGCAUUACACUUGCUGGCGUGAUGGAGGCUGAGGUCAAGUCAAAAGAAGAUAUGGGCCAUAUGGCCGUGCACUUGGCACGAGGAUCUUUGUCACGCGCAACUGAAAGUACAAACAUACAUAGCCAGGCAAGAGCUGCAAGAGUGGUGGACAUGCAAGGGAGGAUCAGGAAGGAUGGAGGGAGGUGA
rnacentral:rRNA from 1 species